UACGGAGGGUGCAAGCGUUAUCCGGAUUCACUGGGGUUAAAGGGUGCGUAGGUGGCUUUGUAAGUCAGUGGUGAAAUCUUAGAGCUUAACUCUAAAACUGCCAUUGAUACUGCUUAGCUUGAAUCAAGUAGAGGUGGAUGGAAUAUUACAUGUAGCGGUGAAAUGCUUAGAUAUGUAAUAGAACACCGAUUGCGAAGGCAGUUCACUAUGCUUGUAUUGACACUGAGGCACGAAAGCGUGGGGAUCAAACAGG
rnacentral:rRNA from 1 species